GUCCACGCCGUAAACGAUGAGAACUAGCUGUUGGAUAUAUUAAAAUAUCAAGUAGCGAAGCUAACGCGAUAAGUUCUCCGCCUGGGGAGUACGGCCGCAAGGCUAAAACUCAAAGGAAUUGACGGGGGCCCGCACAAGCGGUGGAGCAUGUGGUUUAAUUCGAUGCAACGCGAAAAACCUUACCUACCCUUGACAUCCUUGGAAUCUUAGAGAGAUCUAGGAGUGCUUCGGAACCAAGAGACAGGUGCUGCAUGGCUGUCGU
rnacentral:rRNA from 1 species